GAUUUUCUUUUUAUCUUCAAUUACAACCACACAUUCAGAUUUUUUUGUUAUCUUUUUAUCUUUAACUAUAACUAUUCAUCCAUCACCUUUUAUCCUUAUAUAUCCAGCAUUAUCCUUCCAAAAUCACUAUCUUCUUUCCAUCACCUCCCUCUCCUUGCUUAUCCCUCCAACAUCAUCAUCUUUCCAUCAUCUAUCUCUCCCUCUUUUCCUCUGUCACGGCUCCUCCCUCCUUUUUCACACCUGUUUCAUAAAACGUAGAAGAACAUUAUGAAUAACUACAACUUGUCAUUUUCAGAUAGUUGGUCCGUUGAGAAUGAUGUUCCUAGUGGUGAGGGCGUCUCCCACAAUUUUCGUGAUUAUACACCCGAAUUCACAACUGACGAUAUUUUUCAAAGUAGAGACGACAUGGUAGCUUGGGUGCGGAGAGUCGGUAUGGAAAAUGGUAUUGUCGUUGUCAUUAAGAAAUAUGCUAGUUUAAUUGGUGGCAAAGCUGCCAAAGUGCAUUCUUAGUUGUGAAAGAAGUGGAAAGUAUAGAUCGGCAUGGAAUGCAGUUGAAAGGCAAUCCUCGCAAAAGAAUACUGGGACAAAACAAUGCGAGUGCCCAUUUGAGCUGCGAGGUAUACCAAUACCUUCAGCGGGUGUCAUGUGAGGUGUAAAGGUUGAAUGUGGUUUCCAUAACCAUGAAACAACAAAAUGUUUUGAUGGGCAUGAGUACCCGUCAAGGCUAACACCAGAG